rfam:Epulopiscium sp. Nele67-Bin004 Nele67MMBin003_148, whole genome shotgun sequence.
GGACCUUUAGCUCAGUUGGUUAGAGCACCCGGCUCAUAACCGGGCGGUCCUGGGUUCGAGUCCCAGAGGGUCCA